rnacentral:rRNA from 1 species
AUGAAGCAAAUUGCACAAGGUUUGGAGGUGGAUGUUUCAAAUUAGAAAAAGGGAAGAUGUGGAAGAAAGCCUAAAGACAUCAAUCUAGAGCAAAUCCCUGGAAUCCCACUCAACAAAGGGUCUACAAUUAGGUCACUAUCUUGGCAAUUGGGAUGUAGCUCUACUACACUCUCAAAAAGUUCAAACUAA